rnacentral:rRNA from 1 species
GACGAACGCUGGCGGCGUGCCUAAUACAUGCAAGUAGAACGCUGAAGAGAGGAGCUUGCUCUUCUUGGAUGAGUUGCGAACGGGUGAGUAACGCGUAGGUAACCUGCCUUGUAGCGGGGGAUAACUAUUGGAAACGAUAGCUAAUACCGCAUAACAAUGGAUGACACAUGUCAUUUAUUUGAAAGGGGCAAUUGCUCCACUACAAGAUGGACCUGCGUUGUAUUAGCUAGUAGGUGAGGUAAUGGCUCACCUAGGCGACGAUACAUAGCCGACCUGAGAGGGUGAUCGGCCACACUGGGACUGAGACACGGCCCAGACUCCUACGGGAGGCAGCAGUAGGGAAUCUUCGGCAAUGGGGGCAACCCUGACCGAGCAACGCCGCGUGAGUGAAGAAGGUUUUCGGAUCGUAAAGCUCUGUUGUAAGUCAAGAACGGGUGUGAGAGUGGAAAGUUCACACUGUGACGGUAGCUUACCAGAAAGGGACGGCUAACUACGUGCCAGCAGCCGCGGUAAUACGUAGGUCCCGAGCGUUGUCCGGAUUUAUUGGGCGUAAAGCGAGCGCAGGCGGUUUGAUAAGUCUGAAGUUAAAGGCUGUGGCUCAACCAUAGUUCGCUUUGGAAACUGUCAAACUUGAGUGCAGAAGGGGAGAGUGGAAUUCCAUGUGUAGCGGUGAAAUGCGUAGAUAUAUGGAGGAACACCGGUGGCGAAAGCGGCUCUCUGGUCUGUAACUGACGCUGAGGCUCGAAAGCGUGGGGAGCGAACAGGAUUAGAUACCCUGGUAGUCCACGCCGUAAACGAUGAGUGCUAGGUGUUGGAUCCUUUCCGGGAUUCAGUGCCGCAGCUAACGCAUUAAGCACUCCGCCUGGGGAGUACGACCGCAAGGUUGAAACUCAAAGGAAUUGACGGGGGCCCGCACAAGCGGUGGAGCAUGUGGUUUAAUUCGAAGCAACGCGAAGAACCUUACCAGGUCUUGACAUCCCGAUGCUAUUUCUAGAGAUAGAAAGUUACUUCGGUACAUCGGUGACAGGUGGUGCAUGGUUGUCGUCAGCUCGUGUCGUGAGAUGUUGGGUUAAGUCCCGCAACGAGCGCAACCCCUAUUGUUAGUUGCCAUCAUUCAGUUGGGCACUCUAGCGAGACUGCCGGUAAUAAACCGGAGGAAGGUGGGGAUGACGUCAAAUCACCAUGCCCCUUAUGACCUGGGCUACACACGUGCUACAAUGGUUGGUACAACGAGUUGCGAGUCGGUGACGGCGAGCUAAUCUCUUAAAGCCAAUCUCAGUUCGGAUUGUAGGCUGCAACUCGCCUACAUGAAGUCGGAAUCGCUAGUAAUCGCGGAUCAGCACGCCGCGGUGAAUACGUUCCCGGGCCU